rnacentral:rRNA from 1 species
ACGGAGGGGGCUAGCGUUGUUCGGAAUUACUGGGCGUAAAGCGCACGUAGGCGGCUUUGCAAGUCAGAGGUGAAAGCCCGGGGCUCAACCCCGGAAUUGCCUUUGAGACUGCAUCGCUAGAACGUCGGAGAGGUGAGUGGAAUUCCGAGUGUAGAGGUGAAAUUCGUAGAUAUUCGGAAGAACACCAGUGGCGAAGGCGGCUCACUGGUCCGGUACUGACGCUGAGGUGCGAAAGCGUGGGGAGCAAACAGGA